rfam:Neisseria gonorrhoeae FA 1090, complete genome.
ACUAGUUUGAUAGUCCUUUAUAUCUAUCAAUACUCCUUGGGAAGCCUCCGCCACACGGCAGGAGGCAUUUUUU